GAUGAACGCUGGCGGCGUGCCUAAUACAUGCAAGUCGAGCGAACAGACGAGGAGCUUGCUCCUCUGACGUUAGCGGCGGACGGGUGAGUAACACGUGGAUAACCUACCUAUAAGACUGGGAUAACUUCGGGAAACCGGAGCUAAUACCGGAUAAUAUAUUGAACCGCAUGGUUCAAUAGUGAAAGACGGUUUUGCUGUCACUUAUAGAUGGAUCCGCGCCGCAUUAGCUAGUUGGUAAGGUAACGGCUUACCAAGGCAACGAUGCGUAGCCGACCUGAGAGGGUGAUCGGCCACACUGUAACUGAGACACGGUCCAGACUCCUACGGGAGGCAGCAGUAGGGAAUCUUCCGCAAUGGGCGAAAGCUUGACGGAGCAACGCCGCGUGAGUGAUAAAGGUCUUCGGAUCGUAAAACUAUGUUAUUAGGGAAGAACAAAUGUGUAAGUAACUAUGCACGUCUUGACGGUACCUAAUCAGAAAGCCACGGCUAACUACGUG
rnacentral:rRNA from 1 species